rnacentral:rRNA from 1 species
AAACAGUUCAGCACUAAGUCACUUUGUCUUUAUGGCAAAUGUGAGAUGCAGUGUAUGGAAUGUCAAAUUUCUAGUAUGAGAAAUUAACGAUUUAAGUCCUUCUUAAAUGAGGCCAUUUACCCAUAGAGGGUGCCAGGCCCGUAUAACGUUAAUGAUUACUAGAUGACAUUUCCAAAGAGUCGUGUUGCUUGAUAGUGCAGCACUAAGUGGGUGGUAAACUCCAUCUAAAACUAAAUAUAACCAUGAGACCGAUAGUAAACAAGUACCGUGAGGGAAAGUUGAAAAGAACUCUGAAUAGAGAGUUAAAUAGUACGUGAAACUGCUUAGAGGUUAAGCCCGAUGAACCUGAAUAUCCGUUAUAGAAAAUUCAUCAUUAUGAUUUUAAUAUUUAUACAUAUUAUAAUAAUGGUGUGCAUUUUUUCUAUAAAGGACAUUGUAAUCUAUUAAUAUUGUAAUAUUUAUCAUAAGAUCAAUAUGCGUAAGUUUAUUCAAAUUAUUUUGCUUGCAAUUUAAUAUAGAAUAAAUGCUUUUGAUUUGAUAAAGUAUUGAUAGAUUUAUUAUAUAUAGUGCUUAAAUAAAUUUAUAUUUUAUAAUGGCAUAUUAAUCAAUGAUUUUUAUGUUUAUUAUAUGCACUUAUAUGAUUAACAAUGCGAAAGAUUCAGGAUACCUUCGGGACCCGUCUUGAAACACGGACCAAGGAGUCUAACAUAUUUGCAAGUUAUUGGGAAUAAAAAACCUAAUAGCGAAAUUAACAUAACUUUAAAUGGGAUUAGUUUUUAGUCUAUUUUUAAUAGUCUAUUAAUUCAAUCCCGGGGCGUUCUAUACAGUUAUGUAUAAUAAUAUUUAUAUUAUUUAUACCUCUAACUAGAGCGUACCUUGAGCAUAUAUGCUGUGACCCGAAAGAUGGUGAACUAUACUUGAUCAGGUUGAAGUCAGGGGAAACCCUGAUGGAAGACCGAAACAGUUCUGACGUGCAAAUCGAUUGUCAGAAUUGAGUAUAGGGGCGAAAGACCAAUCGA